rnacentral:rRNA from 1 species
GAUGGACGCUGGCGGCGUGCCUAAUACAUGCAAGUCGAGCGAACGGACGAGAAGCUUGCUUCUCUGAUGUUAGCGGCGGACGGGUGAGUAACACGUGGAUAACCUACCUAUAAGACUGGGAUAACUUCGGGAAACCGUAGCUAAUACCGGAUAAUAUUUUGAACCGCAUGGUUCAAAAGUGAAAGACGGUCUUGCUGUCACUUAUAGAUGGAUCCGCGCUGCAUUAGAUAGUUGGUAAGGUAACGGCUUACCAAGGCAACGAUGCAUAGCCGACCUGAGUGGGUGAUCGGCCACACUGGAACUGAGACACGGUCCAGACUCCUACGGGAGGCAGCAGUAGGGAAUCUUCCGCAAUGGGCGAAAGCCUGACGGAGCAACGCCGCGUGAGUGAUGAAGGUCUUCGGAUCGUAAAACUCUGUUAUUAGGGAAGAACAUAUGUGUAAGUAACUGUGCACAUCUUGACGGUACCUAAUCAGAAAGCCACGGCUAACUACGUG